AUACUUAACUAACAGGGGAGAUACCAUGAUCACAAAGGUGGUUUUCCCAGGGUGAGGCUCAUGCAUUGCACUCAGGUUGUGCUGACCACGGUGAUUUCCCCACACACAGGAAACUCAACUGCGUAAUUCCUGGUAGUAGAAAUUGCGUUAGGGCGUUGCCCUGAU
ensembl:snRNA U1 U1 spliceosomal RNA